AUCAUUUCUGGGCCUUUUAGCUAAGAUCAAGUGUCGUAUCUGUUCUUCUCAGUUCAAUAUCUGAUAUGUCCUUUAUCUGAGGACAAUAUAUUAAAUGCAUUUUUGGAGCAGGGAGAUGGACUAGGAGCUUGCUUUGGCCACUCCACCCUUUGACCUGGUAUUGCAUUACCUCCAGAAACAGUGCACCCCUC